ACAGCAAAUUAUUGAAGCCACUGUGUAUCAUCCAACAGCCAGCUGAUCCCAAAAUAGUUGCCACCAUGUAAGAAGUGCCUUUCACCUCCGGCUGUGAUUCUGAGGCCUCCCCAGCCAUGUAGAACUCUGAAGAUUCCUCCUCUGAACUGUGGUUGUGGCGACAGAUCUUAACAGUUGUCUGUAUAGAUGCAACAGUAUGCAGCCUCCUGU
rnacentral:lncRNA from 1 species